rnacentral:tRNA from 1 species
UCCCUGGUGGCUCAGAGGUUAAAGCGUCUGCCUGCAGUGCAGGAGACCCAGGUUCGAUUUCUGGGUCGGGAA